CCUCCAUUUCCGGUUCGAAUGG
rnacentral:miRNA from 1 species